rnacentral:lncRNA from 1 species
GUUUGCAGUCCUUGCUUUUUCCCAGCUGAUCGCAGGGAGCCCUUUAGAGCCGUCAGAUGAGAAUCAAUGACAAUUUUACUGGAAUGAUUCUAGACUCUCUAAACACAACUGUGAGAGCUUGUUUAACUGUGAGGGUGCUGAGGCACGGAGGGCAGGAAAUCUGGCUCUCACAUUAGAAAGGUCAGCCUUCGACUCCCCUCAGAUCACCAGUCCUGUUGAAGUCAGUGGAAACAGCGAAUUUAAGCAACAGGAGGGGUUAGAUGAGAUGUCAGAAAAGCAGCCUUGCCUUUAGCCCUGACCUGCUGCAGGACUUCAGGUUUUCUCUACACACAGAGCUGAUACUGUCUGCUCAGGCAGAGGACUGCGUAAAGGACAGUCAAAGAGUAAGAAGGUGACAGUCAUGCUUUAAUCUUAUAUAAAUAUAAUUAUAUUGAAUCAUUUUUUGAAGUUUUUUUUAAGUUUUAAAUACAUUUGUUGUAAGUCUAAA